UGCCAAUGACUGGAAUUACUGUCACUAGCCU
rnacentral:piRNA from 1 species